rnacentral:lncRNA from 1 species
UCAAUCCUAAUCAGUGUUAUAAAAGCUGAAUCCUCCUGAUUUGAAGCCAUUGACAUACCGUUGAUGAUUUGCAACCAUUGCGAGGAUCUGCAAGAGAAAUGAUGUGAGAAAUGCGCUCCGCAUGUAGAUCAACAAACGGUGAUGCCCCUUCUACUUUCUAUUGUCUCUCUUCCUUUGCAACUUCGAACAUUAAUUAAGGCCAUUAUUUGGACCUGUCUACCUUACAGAUUCUGUAACAUACGCACCCAAUGCAUGCACCACACCUGUCCUGCAUAUGGAGAAAAAGCAUGCAAUUGUUUUUGUUUGGUAGCUAGCUAACCAAUCAGGAGCUGGCUAAGUUGGAUCUGUAUGUUACAGAAUCUGUAACUUAGCCAGCUCC